GCCAGCGCCCCGGCGCUGAGCAGCAGCCUCAGUACGCAAGGCCCAAACAAUUGGUGAUAAUGAAGAAACUCUACUACCAGACGUUGCGGGAUGCCUCAAUGACCUAAUCCAGUAAAUCACAGCUCCAGCUGUCCAUGAGCUCUGUCUACCAUCUGAGGAAUUGUUUCUUUUUAAUACAAAGACUGGCACUCAUCAGAUAAUAAUUUCUGGGAUAGAAGCAAAGUAUUGGUAUUUCUUUAAGUCUCUUGAAGGUGAUUCUACUGAGCUGGGAUUAAGAACACACUGCCUUAAUCCUUUCAUCAUCAACAAAAUUAAAUACUGUUACUAUUAACAGAAGGAAAAAAAAGCUGUUUAAAGAGAGUGAGAAAGUGUUAUACCAGGAAUGGGAGCAUGAUUUUGUCAUUGAGACCAUGGCCACUGGAGCAAGACCACCUGGGUUCAACUUGUAGCUCUGCCACUUGCUAUCUAUGAACCUAGGGCACGUUAUUUGGUCUCUCUGUGCCUCAGUUUCCUCAUCUGUAAGAUGGAAAUCAUAAUAGUCACUACCUCACAUGGAGAUCAUGAGUACUAAUUGAGUUUAUAUUGUUAGAGUGCUCAAAAGAGUGUCUGGCAUGCCAAGUACUAUAUAAAUAUUUAUUAUUAAUUUUCUAACAACUCAAGUUUUUCACAGGUCCAGGCUUGUAGUUGAAAUUGAUACACAGUCUAUCCACCAAAAUAGCCUUUUCUAUAGUGUCCUGCCUCAGGGUGGGAGGCACAGAAACUAGAAAUGAAAAUUGGACAAUUAGUAGCAUUGGUGUUCUAUCAGAUUAGAAGAAACAUUCAUUCAUUCAUUCAUUUAUUUACUUGGAGACAGUCUCGCUCUGUGAUCCAGGCUGGAGUGCAGUGGUGCAAUCCCAGCUCACUGCAACCUCCACUUCCCUGGUUCAAGCGAUUCUCGUGCCUCAGCCCCCCGAGUAGCUGGAAUUACAGGCACACACCACCUUGCCUGGCUAAUUUUUGUAUUUUUAGUACAGACAGGGUUUCACCAGGUUGGCAAGGCUGGUCUCAAACUCCUGACCUCAAGUGGUCUGCCUACCUCGGCCUCCCAAUGUGCUGGGAUUACAGGCAUGAGCCACCACACCCAUCCAGAAGAAACAUUUAACCUAUUGAAUGCAUACUAUUAUAAAUACCAACAACUAGGACAUUAAAAUAGUAAUGGGAAAAUAAUUUUAGGAUUAAAAUAGAAUUCUUCAUUUGAUAAUACUCGAGGUGGAGCAAACAAAAUGGAACGGUGUCUAAGAAGAGGCAUCUUACAAGAUUACUUUUCUAGAGGCUAAAGGAAAUUAUCUUGGGCACCGGUUAUAGCCUGAGGGGCAAGUCUGUCUGUAUCUAAUAAAAGUGUCUUCUGAAAAAAGAAACAGAGAGGGAACUUUAAAGUGGAGCAUCUUGUUUUAUGAACAGCUGGAAGUGCCUACAACUCCUCCCCAAACUGAAAAGAUUACUUUUACACUAUGCAUUUUACAAUUUUACGUACACAUUUUUAAAACUCUUUUGGGAUGUGGAAGGUUUAUUUAUUCAGCCACCCAUAGCAAAUUCAAAUAGACUCCUGGCUAUCUAAAAAGCCACAGCACUCGGAAUUUCUCCCAUGGUGGUGGGGGAUGGGGAUGCUCCAUGGGGAAAUUUGUUCCCUCACCUGUAGGCUUCACUCCAAAACAAGGCAAUAGGACUGCAAUGACUUCUGUGACUCUAGCCAUGGUAAUGCCUUGCAGUGGGGGGGUUACAUUUUGCAUCUCUCUAAGCUUCCAUACUGGGCCAGCAAUAUCACUGAAUUCUUCCAAGAGAAAAUAGCUCCCCCAAAGGUGGCACCCACAGGAAUCUCUGCCAGGUUCCCAAGUCUACUGAUUCUUGCAUUCCACCCCUUCCCUCAAGGUUCAAUUCCUUUAUUUUAAAAUUAUAUCCUUUAGAAACUUUUUUUUUAGCAAAGACUUGUGAGAGGUCAAUUCUCCUUCUUUUUAAAAACAUCAGUCAUAAAGGAUACUUCUGUUUGAUGUAGACUUUUAGAUUAAAGUUCUGAGUAAAGAUGGUGGAUUGAACCACAAAUCCAAAUUUUGCUUUUCCAGAAAUCAUAUAAAACUACAAUGAAUAUAUAUUAUUUAGAAAUGCAUGAACCUUUAAGAAUAUGGGAAAUGGGAGAAGAGACAACAACUGACUUCUGGAAGCCGGAAAGAAGAUGGGUAAAUAAACUAACCCAACAUGUCAAAGAAACAUUCUAGGCUGACUCAGUUUUAUUUUUUUUUCCUAACAUAAUCUAAACUCCAGGAAAUGGUGACACCAGGUAACACUGGAAAUGGAAUAAAGAGGGUGGC
rnacentral:lncRNA from 10 species